rnacentral:tRNA from 1 species
UCCUCGAUAGCUCAGUUGGUAGAGCAAUCGGCUGUUAACCGAUUGGUCGUAGGUUCGAGUCCUACUCGAGGAGCCA